GGCGGCGGCUGGUCGAUCAUCAUUUGGCUCUGGGUUCUGUUGUCACUGGGAGAGCCCGCACCCGUAGGCAUAUGUAUUCCCCGGGGAUGUGGAAGCCCUCGUGGGGUUGUUUGGUCCUGCGGUGCGUCUUCUGACCAAGAGCGUAACCGCUUGAGUUUCUGCUGAAGUGCUGGCGUGGGCAUUCUCUCAACUUCUCCCGGCAACUGCUGUACCUAGCCUGUCCGUUUUACUGCUGUUGCCCUUGCUGCUGUCGGCGUAGGCGAUGUGCCUCGCCCAUCGGGUAGCCUGGAUCAACAUAUGUAGGGCCGACGGCCCUUGACGCGCUGCUGUUUUUGUUCUGCCGACAAUUAUUGUGGACGAGUGCGUGCGUGUGGAGAGUGUGUUAAGUGACGCGCGGUGCGCGCUUGGAACUCUCGUGUGGAGAGAGUGUUUGGUGACGCGCGUGGUUGCGCGCUGACACUCAGUGGAGUGUGUGUGAAUGUGAUGUGUGGGUCCUAGUUCUCUUUUGUUUGAUUGAUUUACGUUGGAUUUCUGUUUCGUUUCUUAUUGUAUUGAUGUAUUGUGUGUUGGCCGUGUCGGGUACACCACACACCUGUAACUGGUCAGUAGGACCACCCUACAGUAGUUUCUCACGUGCAGUGCUCAGGCCUUAUGCCGAGUG